ACCUGGAUGGCUCAGUCAGUAGAGCAUGUGACUUUCAAUCUCAGGUUCAUGAGUUCAAGUCCCACAUUGGGUA
rnacentral:tRNA from 1 species